CAGUCGCCGCGGUAAUACGAAGGGGGCUAGCGUUGUUCGGAAUUACUGGGCGUAAAGCGCACGUAGGCGGAUAUUUAAGUCGGGGGUGAAAUCCCGCAGCUCAACUGCGGAACUGCCUUUGAUACUGGGUAUCUUGAGUAUGGAAGAGGUAAGUGGAAUUGCGAGUGUAGAGGUGAAAUUCGUAGAUAUUCGCAGGAACACCAGUGGCGAAGGCGGCUUACUGGUCCAUUACUGACGCUGAGGUGCGAAAGCGUGGGAGCAAACAGGAUUAGAUACCCCUGUAGUCCCUGUCUCUUAUACA
rnacentral:rRNA from 1 species